CCCUUAGAUGUUCUGGGCCACACGCGCGUUACACUGAUGAAGCCAGCGAGUAUAUCGCCUUCACCGGAAGGUGCGGGUAAUCUUGUGAAACUUCAUCGUGCUGGGGAUAGACCAUUGCAAUUAUUGGUCUUGAACGAGGAAUUCCUAGUAAGCAUGAGUCAUCAACUCGUGCUGAUUACGUCCCUGCCCUUUGUACACACCGCCCGUCGCUACUACCGAUUGAAUGGUUUAGUGAGAUCUCGGGAUUGGAGACGUUGCGCCGUAAGGCACAUCGUCCUCGAGAACUUGAUCAAACUUGAUCAUUUAGAGGAAGUAAAAGUCGUAACA
rnacentral:rRNA from 1 species